UUUAGAUACCUUUUAUCGUUUCCAAAUGAACGAAAAACCUAACUCAUUCCCCAGUUGAACGAAAAACAAUAAAACAUCGAAUCCUAAAUCACUACUGAAAAUCCUAACUCGCUGCUGCGUCAACGGCAGUGCGAGUGCAUCAACGACAACCCAUCUUUUUUCCAGGUAAAUUCUGUUCUCUUCGAUUUACAAUCGAUUUACAGUAGAAUCGACUUCGCUGCCGAAAAAACCUAACUCACUGCUGCGUCAACGACAAUGUGAUUUACAGUGUGUCAACAACAGCCCAUCUUUUUUCAGGUCCUUUGCGCAUUUGUUCAAAAAAUAACCUGGACUACUUGAAGGUUGCUGACUGAGAUAUAAUACUGGACAGAUGCUUAAAGUGAAUACGUCUGAUGUGCUUAUGGUUUAUUCCGUGUUGCUAUCUUCUUCAGGAUAUUCUGGAGAAGGCCCAAACUCUCUCACUGCGAGCUUUAUUAAUUGAUUUGAUCCAGACAGUUUAUCUGAGAGGAGUAACUGGAAGUGCAUGAGGUCUAUCGCAUGUUCACUGUUUUGUGCUGUCUUUUAAAUUAUAUGUUGGCUUUAGAUAGUCAUGGGGAGAACUCUUACAUAAAUACUUUUUGGUCCUUGAAGUUCUUCUUCUGAUAAUUCAGUGGGGUUUUAGCGUAAUUUCAAAGGAUUUUCCCCCCAAUUUUAUGGUUUUAAAGCAGCUAAAAGAAUAUUUUGAAAUGUCCAUGCAUUAUACAAUCACGUUUUCGGAAAAUCUAAAAGGACAUUUCAAGAAGUUGGCACAGAAGUUUUUUUCAUUUCAGGAGAUACUUUCAAAAACAAUUGUCCUAUGCUGUUGCCUAAAUUAGUAAAUAAGUUAUCGAAAUUGAGAUAUCCUA